ensembl:snRNA U1 U1 spliceosomal RNA
AUACUUACCUGGCAGAGGAGAUACCAUGAUCACGAAGGUGGUUUUCCCAAGGCAAGGCUUAUCCAUUGCACUCUGGAUGUGCUGACCCCUGCGAUUUUCCCAAAUGUGGGAAACUCAACUGCAUAAUUUGUGGUAGUGGGAGAUUGUGUUUACACUUUCCCCUU